UUGUAGGUAGAAUUGCAGACCGUGGCAUAUGUUCAGGAACAGGCUUGAAAUGAAUCUGUAAUAUAUCCCUGAUGUAUCUGCUUAGCAAAUAUAUCCUGAUUAACCCAUUUGCACCUGGCUGUUCCAAAAACACUUUCCAGGAUAUCUUCAUGGCAGAGAUCUCCCUUAGGAAUUAAGGUCUGCAUAUCACAUCAUUAAAUCCACAUCAUAUGGACAGCUAAAUACCUGGAUGUGCACAUCCCAAUGUGAUAAUUCCACUGGGACUAAACUCCAUUACUCAAUCAAGUGCUCUGUAAUAUGUGCUGAAGUCCUAAAUGUUGUUCCCCCCGAUGACUGGGUCUGUUCGCAAAAAGCUCUACUGUAUAUUAUAAUGUCUAUCUAGCCACUCUCAGAAGAUACUUCUUGAAAUGCAACGACUCUUCUGCCUAAGGUGCUGUUGCCAUCUAUGCAAGGACUGAAUUAUAUACAGACGGAUUUCUUCACUAUUUAAUCAAGUAUAAGAAGAACAAAAAUAUUUAAAAGAAAAAUAAUGCCAAAUGUGGCAAGGAAACAGUUCUUAUGCAGAAAAGAACAUUUUAGUGCUAUAUUUUCUAGAAGAAGAAACACUGCGACAACCAGUGGAACGGUUCGCUAUGUCAUGGGCUCCCGAGGAGCUGAACUCGGCGGGAGCAGCGAGUGGAACACAUGAUCAAAGCCCAAGGCUAAGAGUAGAUGAGCCGCCCGCUGAGAGUGGGAUGUCAAAGAGAACGGGUCGUACUAUUGAACACAAAGAACCUCAGACCGGCACUGGGAGUCGGAUCCGCCCCUGUGAAGAAGUCUUCCCCUCCAUCAUCAGCAAAGUGGUUUGAUGUCCCUACAAAGUUGGCCCUAGCUCGCAUGGCAAAAGAGGGGGAGGAGGAGAUGAAGAGAAAAGAGGAUCUUAUUAUAGCACAUAAAGUAGACGAUGGAAGUUCUGAAAUAAAUUGGCUUGGUUGGGUUAAGGCGGGGAUAAUGAGCUCCUCUCUACAAGAAACAGACACUUGACAAGUCGACUGCCUAACCAAGCACUAUCCACUGAAAGAGCAGAGAAAUACCCUCGCCCAGCAUAUAGAACACAAUAAAUAAAAGAUGUACAGUAGUGACUGUGUAAAAGAUAAGCUUAUUAAAGAGAAUAGGUGACAAUAGCAUUACAAUGCUUCAGACUAACUUAUAAUACAACAUAUAUAUGUUGUACCUGCUCUGUUUUCAACUUGAGUUAGAGAGUUUAAAAUAAAACUAUCAUCACCAUCUAAAACCAUACUAAUACUUGUAAAAUAUUAAAUACAGUAUACUGCUAUUUAGCUGACGGGGUGGGGACACAGACUUUUAUGACUGCUUUCUUCCCUAGCCAAAGCUAAUGUUGUAGGGACCACAAUGACUGCAGAAUUUGUCUCCUCUCUCCAUCAGAAAAUCAUGGGUAAGGAAGACCUAGUAGACGCAAAGAGGUUGAUGCGAGGUUUGUAAUAAAAUAAUUUAUGUUAAAAAGUUAAUAAUAUAUUUUAUGCUUGGAAUACUUAAGGUCACAUUACUCCUGAGAAACGAGCAAAGUUCCUUACAAAGAGCCAGAAUGAGGCUAAGAAUCCGCAGAAAAGUUUUGAAAUUUUGCCCACUUUACCCACAGCAACCAUGUCUUUAUACACAGGAACCCAGUCUGCCCUCUUAAGUUUCAGGGUGAUGACACUUAUUCAGGCUGCUUUGUAGGCAGUGCAAUUAUCAUGCCAGAAUGUUGUACUUGUUUGGCUAACAUUAGGGUUAAAUUAGAAAAGUUGGAGUAUGCCAUUCACUUAUUUUUAAAUCUGUGCAGUAAGGGAAAUGCAUAUUCCAAAAUGGCAUACAGAACUUUACCUAUAUAAGCAAAGCAGAUCCAUCUUAAUGCCCACUAACUGCUCAGGAAAUAAAACGUGAUCCACAAACUCCAACUUUUGAAUAUUUGCUUAUCUUAACAGUUUUUGUAAUGUAUGAACAAAAUCAGUAUAGCUUAAUCUUCUGCUUUGCUGGAAAAGUGUCUUUAAAUCUACUUCCAUGAAAUAAUUGUGCUCGGUAAAGAGAUUAUAGAACGUGCGUGCAAAGAAUGGAAUGUUUUAGUUAAUAUUUACAUGCUGAAUGGAUGGAAAGUGUACAAGUUUAAGAGUCAUUCACAAAUAUCUUAUAAGCACACAUUUGUGUCUGACAUCACCAAACUCUCUUGCACUUUUUGUAUUGGUAAUAGUGUUUAGAAUCCGGGCUCCAUUGUUGAAUUUUGAGAGAUUGACAAGACAGACGUGACAUAAAUAAGAAAUACAGAAAAGCAAAGUUUAUUGUCUUAAACAACAAGAAAAUAAAUGACAAACUAUUCUAAGCUAAAGUAGUUAUCUGUGGCCACAGUGCAUCAUUCACAGCAAUAUACUGUACUGUAAGUACUUCAUUAACUUGAUGGGAAAAAAAAAGAUUUAUGUUAUUUUAUUUAUUAUAAAAAUUCUAUAUACCAGGUCGCAGUAGCUAAAGUGAAAAUGCUUCUCGCAGGAACACAGGUCUGGGGAUUACUCGACAUCACUUCCUGUUCACCGAAACUAUGCACAGGAAAUACAUGAUAUACACUUGGCUUUCAAAACAUAUGAAUAUUUUAUUUCAUAUAUUUUCCCAGCCCCAUGCUGGAAUGUCUAGUCUUGAUUAAAGGGAUCAUUAUAGAACUUUGACAAACUAGACUAAAGCAAUUGCUAAGAAAUAACUACAAAUUACAAAGGAUAAACUUGGAAACCCAAAAAGUCUAAUAAUUCCUUUACUAUGAAUUUAUCAGUGAGCUAGUUCAUUUCAUAUUUUAUGUAAAGUAUAAGCUGGACAAACCUUUGAUAUUCUAAGGCUGGGUUAUCCAGUAGCAUUAAGACAAGUUGAGAGUCCCUAGAUGUAAAAUGAGACAUGUAACCAGUGCUUACUCUGGCUGUGUGUGUGGUGGAUGGAGAGGGGGAGUUA